ensembl:lncRNA
CUCGGCUCGGCUCGGCUCGGCUCGGCUUCCCGGGUCUGCUGGCGCGGCGCUGGGAGGCACUGCGGCCGUCUGUGAGGGAGGGCAGCGGUGAGGCAGCUGGGUUUAUGGCCCAGGUUUCCAGGAGAGAUGGUCAUAGCUGUGUGUGUGUGUGUGUGUCGACCAAGGGAAGAGCCUUACAUAUGGUUCUUGUAUAUCGGCGUGCAAGCCCGGAAAGUACUAGGAACAACUUACUUAACGUGUAGCUGGAGAUGAAGUGGGUACUCUGAGCCUGGCGGCAGACUGGAUGUAGCCUUUGUCAGAAUAGCAGUAUUUCAGUCUGAAAGCACAGCAUUUCUGUGACCAGCUGCUUGUGUUUCUGCUGCAUUGGCCCACAGCGAUUCAGACAACACAGAGCAACACAGAAGUGUACUGCAGUUCAUCAUUUAAGGUAGAGAAACUUACUCAUUAUGAGAACAGAUGUGCCUUCUUUCUCCUACGUGUGUGCUGCUGCAGCUGAGCACCUCAGUGCCAAGUACAAAUCUGAGCCAAGGUUUGGUGGCUGAAGUGAAGCCAGUAGGAUGUGCUUACGUGCUGCUGAUCCCAGCAGCUUCCUGCAGUGGGUGCAGCUGUAUUUAGACACAGUGUGGAGCUGGGUGCUCUACGUGGAGUUAUUUCUCGGUUCUUUUCAUGAGAAUGUCGCACACAAAGUUUAAAACCUCAACAUCAGUUUGAAAUCCAAAACACUGAAAAAACGGCACUGUAAAACCUGUGAUGUUUAGCUCUUGAGGGCAGCCUUAGAUUGUUUUCUCGAUGCAUAUGAUGCUUGGUUUGAUGCCUAUGUAUCUUUGCUUGGAUGUAAGGGAAAGUCUUUUACAGUGGGGGUGGUGAGGCCUUGGAACAGGUUGCCCAGAGAUGUGGUUGGUGCCUCCGUCUCUUUGUCAUCCGUGAAAUGUUGAGUCAUAGAAUGGCCUGGGUCAAAAAGGACCACAGUGAUGAUCCAGUUCCAACCCCUGCUGUGUGCAGGAUCGCCAACCACCAGACCAGGCUGCCCAGAGCCACAUCCAGCCUGGCCUUGAGUGUCUCCAGCGAUGGGGCAUCCACAACCUCCUUGGGCAACCUGUUUGGUGUGUCACCACCCUCUGGGUGAAAAUUGAUUGAUUGGAGAUUGUGAUUCGGUACCUGGCUGUCAGUGCAGCGUUGCAAACUAAUGUUUAAAUUUAUAGACUGCAUCAAAAAUAGGAGCUGAAUGCAGUGUGUGUGCAGCAGGAGCCUACAGAGGAAGCUGGGCCAGUGAGAAUGCAGAGCAGUCUGGUGACGAUGGCAGCCCUGGACAGCAGCACAGCAAAUGGUAUGUUUUGAAUCUAGUUAACUUCCUAGUGAAAUGCCAGGCAGUAAUCAUCAAGCAGACCUGCUAAUUUCAACAGAGCAGUUAGCAUUUAAUUGAGGUAUGCAAAGAACUGGAACCUGUAGAAACUUCUGUGAGUACUGAGACCCUCUGAAAACUCGUGGCUUCCUCUUCUUUGUGUCAUGCAUCUGAGAUGGUUGUUUUGAGUAAUGGCUUCUCUUUCUGAUGCCUGAUGUAAGUAGCUGUGUUGUAGUUUUGAUCAAGUCUGCCAAAGACCCCGGGCCUCCAACACAGUAAGAAAGGUAGGCAGUUUGAAAUCCUUCUCGACAGUAUAUAGCUAAACAUACAAGGUAAAGUCAGGAUGAAAUUUUGAUUGUAACUGUGUUUUAAAUGAUGCUGGUAGUGCUGCCUGGAAUUAAGCUUGCCUCACGUUUCCCAUGAUAAGACCCUUUUUUCAGUGGCAUCUAACUUUGUCAGGUUUCAGUUGUUUGGGCUGAAACUUUUCAUGCUGAAUGUCUGCUUCAGAUGAAUUGGUUUGGAAAGCUUAAACAAAGAAAUGGUUUCACCAUUUCUGGGAAUGAAAUUAAGAGAAAAAUAUUUUCUUUUGCCAUGCCAACUUAAUUCUGGCGUUUCCCGGUGUAUGGCAACUGUUGAAUCGUGGCCUGAACCUCAGAUUGACCACCUGAGGCGAGCACUGAGUCAGCCGCAGAGGACACAGUUGAACACAGUUUCACCUGAGUGACCGGAAGACCCCAUGUAAGGGCUGACUCUUGGAGCCCUUUGGUGAGCCCACGACCAGGGUAAGCUCUUUAUUUCAUCAUGCCUUUGUAAUGUGGUAAUCUCUCUGGUCCUGUACCCGUAUACCUAUUUGCCUUACAAUCUGUUUACUUGUUUGCUGUACGCCUGGGUUUUGAGUGCUUGGGUCUGCAGCCUUGAUGGUUUUCUAUGUACAUUUAUGUUUCCUUCAGAAAAGGAAAGUUUGUAACAUAAUGCCUACAUACAUACAUUCAGAUAACUGAAGAAUGUUUAAGUUGAUGUGAAAACUGUAAACAAUAAACUUGCAUAAGAAGCGAUCAAUAUAUAUAUAUAUAUAUAGUAUAUAUAGUAAUAUAUCAGUGAUAGGUACCUCUUCUUUGGUCCUCCUUGUUUUACUAACACCCACGUGGUGUCUAGGACAUCUGGAAAUGUUGCUGGAGCCUUUGAAGCCCUAGUCUAUAUGUGUUCAUGCUGGAGGAACUGAAGCUGAAGCGGGGGAAGGAAGUAAUUUUUAACUCCUCCCUAAAUGCCAGUCACUGCCAGGGAGAAGUCAAUCUGGUAUAUGGCAUCUAAGAGAAAAUACAUGGAUACCUGUUACGAAACAGAGAUGCUGUCUGUAAGCACUGCUUGUGUCACACUGCUGUAUUCUAUGUAUUCUUAUUGGGUUUAUAUAAUAAUGAGACCUUCUUUUAUAUCCUACCUAGCGCAGCUGCUGAGGCCUUUGUAGUGGCUCACAAAGAAAGGCCAAAAACGGGACUGGAGAAGAACAGAAGAAGAGGCAUUCCAGGAAGCCAACUUAGCUGCUAAACAGGCCCAGGCACUGGGUAAUAUUCGAUCCUACCCUUACAGCUAAACUAGAUGCAUGCAACUCAAGAUGGGUUUGGCUAGCAUCUAUGGCAGUGCCAAAAUUCUGUUUGAACCCCAGUUGGGUUCUGGUCUUAAGUUUGGCACAGAGCAGAGGAAAGGUACGGUAUGAUUGCAAAGCAGUUAUUGACUGCUUAUUCUGCAUUACAGGUGACAGAGCCAAUAACUCAAACAUCUCCCGUCAUAGUUAAGACCACCCUGUCUUUCUGUCACUACAGGCAUCAUGUGUCAGCCACACGGGUACGGUGUUGAAGUGGAAAAAAGCCUGCAGACCCUGGGAAAACCAUUGGGGGAGAGAGGAGAAGUGCCCUUUGAAGCAUUUGAUGCCCUGCUGGCAUCCAACACCAGCAUGGUCCUUUUCUCUCCUUUUCAGCCUUUUGCCAUCUCUCAGUGGUUGGCUUCCUUUAGGUACUGGAAGGAUGCAGUGGGGUCACCCCGCAGCCUUCUCUUCUCCAGGCUGAACAAGCCUGGCUCCCUCAGCCUGGCCUUCCUCUGGACCCUCUCCAACAGCUCUGUCUUUCUCGUAUUGGAGGCUCCAGACCUGGAUGCAGUACUCCAAAUGGGGCCUCAUGAGGGCAGAGUAGAGAAGGACAAUCACCUCCCUGUCCCUGCUGGCCACCCCUGUUCUGGUGGAGCCCAGAAAACUGGGCGACUCAUAACCCUCUGUGUUGCUCGCAGUGCAGUUUGCUUGCCUCUGCUCCUGUGUUGCUUUCAGCAACUAUGAUGUUGGCCACCUGUGUUAGCCCUAGCGCAAGCUGGCUAAUUACCUGGUCAGGACCAAAUGACGGCGGACGCACACCAGUAUGAUGAGCAGCAAAAUGGCGUUUAAUCACUACUAAACACAGCUUAUAUAUUUUUACCUAGCAACCGUGCUGGGG